GGAGGCGUAUGGGCACCUGGUGGUCUCCGCGGUCUUCAAACCGACGUGGCCGAGUAUCUCGGUCAGGCGGGUUCGAUUCCCGUCCGCCUCCGCCA
rnacentral:tRNA from 2 species